CGCGUAGGUGGUAGUGUAAGUCUGGGGUGGAAUCCCAGGGCUUAACCCUGGAACUGCCUUGGAAACUGCAUUACUUGAGUCAGUGAGGGGAGGGUAGAAUUCCUGGUGUAGCGGUGAAAUGCGUAGGUAUCAGGAGGAAGGCCUGUGGCGAAGGCGGCCCUCUGGCGCUGAACUGACACUGAGGCGCGAAAGCGUGGGGAGCAAACAGGAUUAGAUACCCUGGUAGUCCACGCCCUAAACGGUGGGCACUAGGUGUAGGGCUCGUAAGGGUUCUGUGCCGAAGGGAAACCAUUAAGUGCCCCGCCUGGGGAGUACGGCCGCAAGGUUGAA
rnacentral:rRNA from 1 species